ensembl:rRNA 5S_rRNA 5S ribosomal RNA
GCUUACGGCCACACCACCCUGAGCGCGCCCGAUCUCGUCUGAUCUCGGAAGCUAAGCAGGGUCGGGCCUGGUUAGUACUUGGAUGGGAGACCGCCUGGGAAUACCAGGUGCCGUAAGCU